GUCGGGGGGCGCCGCGGGAAAAGGUGCUCGCCGCCAUUUUGCCCCCUCGAGGGUCCUGUACGAUGUGCGGUCCCACCGAUGUACAGACCUCGUUGUACCCCCAUGCGGCCCAACCCGGGGAAAGGCGCAACGCUGGCUUUGCCCCCUCCCAAAGUCCCCACGCAACAGCUGCCACAACCACCACGCUUUGUGUUCUUACUGCACUGCCUGCAGCGCCUGGAGAAAGUUUCGCUCCCAUCCCAGUCUUGCAAGCAGUCGCAGCCACAGCACAGGCACCUUCAGGGCUGGCGUUCCUCCUCCUCCCACUUUGAUGCCGCUCUGCUCAACUCUGCGCUUAGUCAGGGAGCCGGGCCUGCAACGAGGACAGUUCGGUUGUGGAAGGAAUCCCCAGAGAGGGAGAAAAGGUGUAGGGCCGGGCUGUGCUGCUGGGACCUUCUGCCUCUGUGUGGCUGCAGUUCAUCUCAUGUAGGGACUGCAGAGUCCUGUGGAGACAAACACAGGCCAGUGUGCACCACUCAGAACUGUGACAGCUAUAAGGAGCUGAAGAACGAAUUGUGUGAACAUUGAGUGUAGUAAACGCACAUCAGCAUUAGGCAGUCUUGUGUAGAAAUGUUGGUAAAAGCUGCGCUGAACAUUUCAUUUCUGAUGUUUUUUUAACUUUAUGUAGUUGUGUAAUAGGCCCUGUGCUUUGCUCCUGCCUCAAUGGAAAAUCAUUACACAGUAAUGGAUGAGCCAGUCCGGAAGGAGCACGGCUGGGGUACCACUCGUGUUCAUCUGGAGAUGCAGCAUACGAGAGGAAGUAGCGGGAGGCCUGCCAACUUUCCCAAUUUAAUUAUUAAGCUGUCAGAUCCUGACUUCGUUUCCACUUCCCGAGGCAACAUCUGGCUGUAAUAACAAAAAUAAAUAAUUAACAUAAAAUUUGAUCAUUCACUCGGUAGCGUUCUGUUUCCAAUGUCCUUUUUACUGCAGUCUUACGAAAAACUCAAUACAGGGGACCUGAAGCUGGCAUCUCUGAACUACUGCUAAGUGAAGACAAGAAUAGAGUCAGCUGUGAUCUGCGAGGGAGAGCUGUGCAGCAGGGUCUGUCAUACUCGAGCCUUCUUCAGAAAGUCCAAUGGUGUGCAUUUUAAUCUUCCUAAUCCUUCUUUCAUUCAGAAAAAAACAUCAGCAUUUUUUUUCACCGUGCAAAGCCAUAUUAUGUGACUUUUGGAGAUUAAAAAAAAAAAUCUUUUUUUUUAGCCAAGAAUUAUUGCAUUUUCAUCAAACAUUGCUUCAAAAGGGUAGCGGUGAUUCCAGGGGAAAAAAAAAAAACACAACAGCUUUAAAGAAUAUCAUGUUUAAAUGCUACCAAAUGUGACCGAAAUGCUGAAGAGAAGUUUUAAAAUAUCUAUGACUGCGCCUUCACGUGUUCUCUGGGUCUGUUUCAUAUGAUGUGACAGCUUCAGCUCACAAGUCCUUAUUGCAGUGGCUUUUGGAACCGUAUGCCUCUUUUUUGCAUAUCCUUGCUCAAACACACACACUUGCUCACAAAAAUAUAUAUCUAUAUAUGUGCAUAUUCACAGGCAGAGACAAAUACAGAGUGACUCAGCUCUGUGUUCUACUUGCUUAAUCAGUUUUUAAAGCUCAGGCACUGUUCUCUUUUCUUAUUUAAAAUGCCGACAGCUAUCUUUCCCACAUUCCUUUUUUCACGGCAAGGGUACCAUGCCUUGACAAAGCCAGGCAACCUAAACUGCCCACAGUGGGCUCCUCCUCCCUGCGUGCCACUCUCCUGAAUGACUUUCUGAAGGUCAGGAGGUCAGUUCGUCCAUUAAUCACAUGGGAGCUUUGCUUCGACACCGGCCCUUCACACUGAUCUGGGGCAGUCCUAGAAAGCCAUUCUUCUUCAUCAUCCAGAGGUAAGGAAGGAGGUGGAGCUCAGGAGGCAGAGGUCCUGCAAGGCGAAAUACCAGGAGGUGGUGUGGGAUGAACCCUGUUGCCCACAAGCAGCGUGUUGACCAGCACAGCUCCUUUCACUUUGGUCUCUGCAGGGCUACAACACAAAUGGUCUCCUGAGACUUCCUCAAGCUCUCUUCUUGAUUGCUGCUGUACAUCUGGAGUGAGAGUCAGCCAGUGACAAGAUGGCAGGUGCUCUGAAUCAAUCCCUGAUACAAAGGACCUGACCCUGUUUCUAUUUAAGUCAGCUUAAUUUCUCAAUUUUCCUUGGGCAGAGAUGAUCUCAUUAUGAUACUUGAGAAAAACUUGUUUUACUUUUUCCCUACAGUUUUUGCUGUCCUUCUGUAAAACUGAAG